rnacentral:rRNA from 1 species
GACAGAGGGUGCAAACGUUGUUCGGAAUUACUGGGCGUAAAGCGCGCGUAGGCGGACCUGCAAGUCGGGGGUGAAAGCCCGAGGCUCAACCUCGGAACUGCCUUCGAUACUGCGGGUCUCGAGUCCGGGAGAGGUGAGUGGAAUUCCGUAGUGUAGAGGUGAAAUUCGUAGAUAUUAGGAAGAACACCAGUGGCGAAGGCGGCUCACUGGCCCGGUACUGACGCUGAGGCGCGAAAGCGUGGGUAGCAAACAGG